rnacentral:rRNA from 1 species
UACGAGUGCCUCGAGCGUUAUCCGGAAUCAUUGGGCGUAAAGGGUGUGCAGGCGGUCUUGUUAGUCUUCUGUUAAAUUUCUCGGCUUAACCGGGAACCUGCAGGGGAAACGGCAAGACUUGAGGAUGCGAGAGGUUAACGGAACUCAUAGUGUAGCGGUGAAAUGCGUUGAUAUUAUGGGGAACACCAAAUGCGAAGGCAGUUAACUGGAGCACUCCUGACGCUGAAACACGAAAGCGUGGGUAGCGAAUGGG